rnacentral:rRNA from 1 species
GAGGAAUAUUGGGCAAUGGGCGAAAGCCUGACCCAGCCACGCCGCGUGUGUGAUGAAGGCCUUCGGGUCGUAAAGCACUGUGGGGAGAGACGAAAAUGCGCAGGAGGAAAUGCUUGCGUACUGACGGUACCUC